rnacentral:rRNA from 1 species
GACCACCUCAGAUCAGACACAGUGACCCACUGAAUUUAAACAUAUUGCUAAGCAGAGGAAAAGAAAUUAACCAGGAUUCCCUCAAUAACAGUGAGUGAAGAGGGAAGAACCCAGUGCCAAAUCCCCAUCGCCGGCACGUGCAGGAAAUGUGGUGUACAGAAGACCUACUCUGGGGGGGCCCAAGUCCUUCUAAUCGAGGUUCUUAUUGAGGCUCACCCCGUGGACAGUGUUGGCCGGUAGCAGUCUCUGGCGCUCUAGGCUGAGUCUUCUUGGAGUCGGGUUGCUUGGGAAUGCAGCCCAAGCGGGUUGUAAACUCCAUCUAGGGCUAAAUACUGGGGCGAGACCAAUAGCCAACAUGUACGGUAAGGGAAAGUUGAAAAGAACUUUAAAGAGAGAGUUCAAUAGGGCCUGAAACCGUUGAGAGGGAAAUGGUGGUGUCCAUGCAGUCCACCCAGAGGAUUCAAGAUGGCGGGCAAGUCAGUCGACCGGAAUGGCAGAUCCCCUCAUACGACCACUGCCCAGCUGCACCCGGCCCCAGCACAUUGCAUUUCCUCUGUGGCAGUGCACUGUGACCAGCUCUGGGUCGGCCGGGAAGGCCUCAAGGAGGACAGGUAGCUCUCCGCUCUGGAAAAGAUUGUUACAACCCUCUGGCAGCAGUUUUACUGUAUCCGUGGUGCCUCCUUCAGCAACGAUUCUAACCUCUUCCAGGGAUUGCCGGGGUGGUGAUGCGACCCCUGCUCCCAGUACAACUGUCGACUGGGGUGGACUGUCAACCGUAUCGACCAUAUCGUGCGACCAGGCAGGGAGACCCACGAAGGGCAGCAGGGUCUGCAGUGAUGUCAAUUACUCACCCGACCUGUCUUGAAACACGGAUCCAGGAGUCUAACAGGUGUGCAAGUCGGAGGGCCGAAUGAAAUCCUGUUGCGCAAUGAAUGUGUGGGCUGGCACGCGCCAGCUGAGGUGGGAACCCGUCACGGGAGGUGGACCACCGGCCCAUCUAACCCGUUUUUUCAGGUAGCAACAGCGUGUGUGGUAGGACCUGGAAGAUCAUGAACUAUGCCUGGGCAGGGCUGAAACCAGAGGAAACUCUGGUGGAGGUUCCUAGCAGACCUAACGUGCAAAUCGGUUGUCUGACCUGCGUCUAGUGACGAAAGACUAAUCAAACCAUCUAGUAGAUGGUUCCCUCCGAAGUUUCCCUCAGGAUAGCUGGUGCUUGGAAACCCCAGUUUCAUCUGGUAAAGCAAAUGAUUACCGGUCUUGGGGCCGAAAAGAUCUCAACCUAUUCUCAAACUUAAAUGGGUAAGAAGCCCAACGCGCUGGUGUGGAGCCGGGCACAGAAUGUGAGUGCCCAGUGCACCACUUUUGGUAAGCAGAACUGAUGCUGGGGGAUGAACCAAACGCCGAGCUAAGGCACCCGAUGGUGAUGCUCAUCAGAACUCAGAAACACUGUUGAUUGAUAUAGACAGCAGAAUGGUGGCCCUGGAAGUCAGAAUCCACCAAGGAUCGUGUAACAACUCACCUGCUAAAUCAACCAGUCCUGAAAACGGAUGACACGGGAGCAUCAGGACCAUAUCUGGCCAUCGCCGGUGCUGAGUGCCAAGUGGGUAAGCCGCAAUGAGUAGGAGGGCUGCUGCGGUGCACACAGAUGCUGGGCAAAGGCCCGGGUUGAGCAGCUGCACGUGCAGAUCUUGGUGGUAGUAGCUAAUAUUUACACAAUAACUUUGAAGGCUGAAGUGGAGAAGGGCUCCAUGUGAACAGCAGUUGGGUACAAGCAAUGGCCUCCAUUACUCUCAACCGAAGGAAGGUUCAGAUCCUGGAACACAGAGUGGCAGAGAUGGGUGCUCUUGCAGCCUACAGUGCGGUAAAGCAAACCAUCCCAGAGAAGCCGGUGUAUGCCCUGGGGAGAGUUCUCUUCUCUUUGUGAAGGGUAGCGCUCCCUGGAAUGGGUUCUCACUGAGUUAGGCGCCGGAGCCUUCGAAAGAACUGUGAUACCGACGGUGCCCGGUGAGCACUCGCUGGUCCUUGAAAAUCCAGGGGAGAUGUGUAAAUCUCGCACUGACCGUACCCAUAUCCACAGCAGGUCUCCAAGGUGCACAGCCUCUUGCAAGUUGGAACAAUGUAGGUAAGGGAAGUCGGCAAGUCAGAUCCGUAAUUUUGGAAUAAGGAUUGGCUCUAAGGGCUGGGUCGGUCGGGCAGGUGGCACCAACUAUGGAUCCAAGCCCGGCCCUUCCUGUGAUUCGUCCAGCUGUGGUGGUCCCCUCCCUCCGUUCCCCACCCAGGGUUUGGGCGGGCGUUCUGCCUCGGCUGACGCAUAGCUGCUCACUUAGAACUGAUGUAGAGAAGGGGAGUCUGACUGUUUAUUAAAACAAAGCAUCGCAAAGGCCCGCGGCGGGUGUUGACCUGAUGUGAUUUCUGCCCAGUGCUCUGAAUGUCAAAGUGAAGAGAUUCAAUGAAGCACGGGUAAACAUCAGAAGUAACUAUGACUGUCUUAAGGCAGCCAAAUGCCUCAUCAUCUAAUUAGUGAUGCGCAUGAAUGGAUGAACGAGAUUCCCACAGUCCUUACCUACUAUCUAGUGAAACCACAGCCAAGGGAACAGGCUUUGCAGCAUCAGCUGGGGAAAGAAGACCCAGGUGAGCGUGUCUCUAGUCCGGCACUGUGAAGAGACAUGAGAGGUAUAGGAUAAUUUGGAGGCCCUUGGGCUGCUGGGGAAAUACCACUACUCUUUUUUUUUCAAUUACGGGGCAAUGCGGGGGUCGGCGAGCCCCGUGAGGCUCUCACUUCUGGCUCCAAGUGCCUGGGGGGCCCACAUAUCAUAACUCACUCUGGGAACAGUAGCAGGUGGGGAGUUUGACUGGAGUGAUACACCUGUCAAAUGAUAAUGCACGUGUCCUAAGGAGAGCUCAGGGAGGACAGAAACUUCACCCAGAGCAGAAGGGCAAAAGCUUGCUUGAUCUCAAUUUUCAGUAUGAAUACAGACUGUGAAAGCAGGGCCUCACAAUACUUCUGACUUUUUGGGUUUCAAGCAGGAGGUGUGAGAAAAGUUACCAGAGGGAUAACUGGCUUGUGGUGGCCAAGUGUUUAUAGUGACGUCACUUUUUGGUCUUUCGAUGUUGGCUCUUCUUACCAUUAUGAAGCAGAGUUCACCAAGCGUUGUAUUGUUCACCCACUAAUAGGGAACGUGAGCUGAGUUUAGACCAUUGUGACACAGGUUAGCUUUACCCUACUGAUGAUGUGUUGUUGCAGUAGUAACCCUGCUCAGUAUGAGAGGAACCACGGGUUCAGACAUUUGGUGUAUGUGCUUGGCAGCAGAGCCAAUGCGGCAAGCUACCAUCUGUGGUAUUAUGACUGAAUGCCUCUAAGUCAGAAUCCCCCUAAAUAAUAAUGAUACUGCAGUGCUAUGUAGCCUUGGUUGGCCUAGGAUGGCCGGCCUCUGGGUCAGUGUGUAGAAACGCUUGCCUCUGGACUUGAGUGUGGUAGUGAAAAACAUGGUCGUGGGCAACCUGGUGCUAAAUCAUUUGUAGACGACCUGAUUCUGUAUCAUGGUUUCAUAAGUAGCAAUAAGCAGCAGAGCAGCCACCUUGCUGCGAUCUAUUGAAAGUCAUCCUC